rnacentral:rRNA from 1 species
UGCAAGUCGAGGGGCAGCGGGGAGGUAGCAAUACCUUUGCCGGCGACCGGCGCACGGGUGAGUAACACGUAUGCAAUCCACCUGUAACAGGGGGAUAACCCGGAGAAAUCCGGACUAAUACCCCAUAAUAUGGGCUCUCCGCAUGGAGGGUUCAUUAAAGAGAGCAAUUUUGGUUACAGACGAGCAUGCGCUCCAUUAGCCAGUUGGCGGGGUAACGGCCCACCAAAGCGACGAUGGAUAGGGGUUCUGAGAGGAAGGUCCCCCACAUUGGAACUGAGACACGGUCCAAACUCCUACGGGAGGCAGCAGUGAGGAAUAUUGGUCAAUGGUCGGCAGACUGAACCAGCCAAGUCGCGUGAGGGAAGACGGCCCUACGGGUUGUAAACCUCUUUUGUCGGAGAGUAAAGUACGCUACGUGUAGCGUAUUGCAAGUAUCCGAAGAAAAAGCAUCGGCUAACUCCGUGCCAGCAGCCGCGGUAAUACGGAGGAUGCGAGCGUUAUCCGGAUUUAUUGGGUUUAAAGGGUGCGUAGGCGGCACGCCAAGUCAGCGGUGAAAUUUUCGGGCUCAACCCGGACUGUGCCGUUGAAACUGGCGAGCUAGAGUGCACAAGAGGCAGGCGGAAUGCGUGGUGUAGCGGUGAAAUGCAUAGAUAUCACGCAGAACCCCGAUUGCGAAGGCAGCCUGCUAGGGUGCGACAGACGCUGAGGCACGAAAGCGUGGGUAUCGAACAGGAUUAGAUACCCUGGUAGUCC